UAACCACUCAAGCUCUCGCUUGGUAUUGGAGUUCGCGGUUUCGCGGUCCCUAAAGUCAGUGGCGGUGCCUGUCGGCUCUACGCGUAGUAAUACUCCUCGCGAUUGAGUCCGGUAGGUCUACUUGCCAGCAACCCCCCAAUUUUUACA
rnacentral:misc_RNA from 1 species